GGUAACGAAACCAGAACCGCUCUCGUUUACAAAUAUCUGCCUGAUGAAGAAGGCUUUUCCCAUAAGUAUCAGAUCUUCUACAUAGAUGCUGAUAAUUGCGUUAAUUCUGCCCACCAUGGAGCAACUUACAGAUAUGAAGUUAUAAUGGCCACUGACGGUGAGU